rnacentral:rRNA from 1 species
AUUGAACGCUGGCGGCAGGCCUAACACAUGCAAGUCGAACGGUAACAGGAAGAAGCUUGCUUCUUUGCUGACGAGUGGCGGACGGGUGAGUAAUGCCUGGGAAACUGCCUGAUGGAGGGGGAUAACUACUGGAAACGGUAGCUAAUACCGCAUAACGUCGCAAGACCAAAGAGGGGGACCUUCGGGCCUCUUGCCAUCGGAUGUGCCCAGAUGGGAUUAGCUAGUAGGUGGGGUAACGGCUCACCUAGGCGACGAUCCCUAGCUGGUCUGAGAGGAUGACCAGCCACACUGGAACUGGGACACGGUCCAGACUCCUACGGGAGGCAGCAGUGGGGAAUAUUGCACAAUGGGCGCAAGCCAGAUGCAGCCAUGCCGCGUGUAUGAAGAAGGCCUUCGGGUUGUAAAGUACUUUCAGCGGGGAGGAAGGGAGUAAAGUUAAUACCUUUGCUCAUUGACGUUACCCGCAGAAGAAGCACCGGCUAACUCCGUG